UGGCCAGACAAGUUCGUCGGGAAAUCCAUCCGCUCAACGGAUGGGCGUCCGGCGAAAACUCUCUGGCUUGGGACCGUGAGGCCCGAGGGGUACGUCUGGGGUAGGAGUGAAAUCCCGUAAUCCUGGACGGACCACCGAUGGCGAAAGCACCUCGGGAGAACGGAUCCGACAGUGAGGGACGAAAGCUGGGGUCUCGAACCGGAUUAGAUACCCGGGUAGUCCCAGCUGUAAACGAUGUUCGCUAGGUGUGGCACAGGCUACGCGCCUGUGCUGUGCCGUAGGGAAGCCGCUAAGCGAACCGCCUGGGAA
rnacentral:rRNA from 1 species